rnacentral:rRNA from 1 species
GAUGAACGCUGGCGGCGUGCCUAAUACAUGCAAGUCGAGCGAACAGACGAGGAGCUUGCUCCUCUGACGUUAGCGGCGGACGGGUGAGUAACACGUGGAUAACCUACCUAUAAGACUGGGAUAACUUCGGGAAACCGGAGCUAAUACCGGAUAACAUGUUGAACCGCAUGGUUCAACAGUGAAAGACGGUCUUGCUGUCACUUAUAGAUGGAUCCGCGCCGCAUUAGCUAGUUGGUAAGGUAACGGCUUACCAAGGCAACGAUGCGUAGCCGACCUGAGAGGGUGAUCGCCCACACUGGAACGGAGACACGGUCCAGACUCCUACGGGAGGCAGCAGUAGGGAAUCUUCCGCAAUGGGCGAAAGCCUGACGGAGCAACGCCGCGUGAGUGAAGAAGGUCUUCGGAUCGUAAAACUCUGUUAUUAGGGAAGAACAAAUGUGUAAGUAACUAUGCACGUCUUGACGGUACCUAAUCAGAAAGCCACGGCUAACUACGUG